CCUACGGGAGGCAGCAGUGAGGAAUAUUGGUCAAUGGACGAGAGUCUGAACCAGCCAAGUAGCGUGAAGGAUGACUGCCCUAUGGGUUGUAAACUUCUUUUAUAUGGGAAUAAAACGUUCCACGUGUGGGAUUUUGUAUGUACCAUAUGAAUAAGGAUCGGCUAACUCCGUGCCAGCAGCCGCGGUAAUACGGAGGAUCCGAGCGUUAUCCGGAUUUAUUGGGUUUAAAGGGAGCGUAGGUGGGUUGUUAAGUCAGUUGUGAAAGUUUGCGGCUCAACCGUAAAAUUGCAGUUGAAACUGGCAGUCUUGAGUACAGUAGAGGUGGGCGGAAUUCGUGGUGUAGCGGUGAAAUGCUUAGAUAUCACGAAGAACUCCGAUUGCGAAGGCAGUUCACUGGACUGCCACUGACACUGAGGCUCGAAAGUGUGGGUAUCAAACAGGAUUAGAUACCCUAGUAGUC
rnacentral:rRNA from 1 species